UCUUGUGUUUUUGUUGUCAAGGGCUGAGAAAGGGGGGAAGGUAUAUUGGUUUAGAUUGUUAAAUUACUGGAACUAGAAUUAGAUUUUUAAGGUGAGAGUGUAAAACAAUUUGGGGAGUUUGUCAAGGAAGUCUUUACAGAGUAAAUAUCUGAAGUAAAUACCAAAGGAUGAUGGUAGAAGGAUAGGAAUAUAUAUGUUUUUCCUAGAAAGAAUGGAGAGUUAGAGAACAAGGCAGAAGAGGGAGCCAUGGUGAUACAUGGACAUGUAAGAGCCAGUAGAGGAAGGGGUGUUGCUGAGAGAGGCAGAUGGAGCAGCAGGAGAGAAGAGAGAAACAGAAGACUUGGGAAACCGAUGUCACAGAAACUGCAUCAGGAGGGAAUUUCAAGAAAUUCUGAGAUCAAUUUAACUUCUUCAAGACUCAGUGCCAUCCUCUGGAACUAGGGACUCAAAAUUAUAUCUACCUUUUGAUAUUAUGAUGACUAAAUGAAAUAGUAAGUAAAGUGGUUAACACAGAGCCUAGCACAUGAGAGAAAAGAGAGUGCCACUAACACUGACCAGUAAUAUUCUCUCUUACCAAGCAUCCACUGGGAGAUGAAGAAGACAGCAAUCAGCUCGGAACACAAGAAUAAAAAUCAGCUGUAAUUAAGAUGCAAAGACUAAGUCUCAAUCCUCUAGGCACUGAAGGCAGUGUCUGAGGUUGCAGUCCCUGCAGGGAUUGUGCAUGGCUGAAGAAACUUUACGAUGGGGAGAGAUUUGAAAGAGGGGCAGUGGAUAAGCACAUUUUAGACUUUUCUUGCAUUACCCUAUUCAUCUCAUCUUUGAAGAUUUCCCUGGGAGACACCUACAUUUGCUGUGACCCCUGCAUCUCAAGUAGGAUUUCCAGAGCAACAGAAGUGUUUCUGAAAUUGGACCUUCUCCACAAAUAAGUUAUUGGAUAAUUUGCAGAGAGAUUGUUCAUUUUACUACUCAAGAUUCUCUCCCUAAUAACUACUGUGCUAUGCCAACAAGUUUUAAUAAACUAUGUGUGCAAAUUGGAUUUGGAUAGACAAAUUCAUAGGUGUUUAUUCUACAUUAACCCGAUGAUACAAUGUCUGAUUGUCUAA